rnacentral:rRNA from 1 species
UACGUAGGUGGCGAGCGUUGUCCGGAUUUACUGGGCGUAAAGGGUGCGUAGGCGGAUGUUUCAGUGGGAUGUGAAAUCCCCGGGCUUAACCUGGGGGCUGCAUUCCAAACUGGAUAUCUAGAGUGCAGGAGAGGAAAGCGGAAUUCCUAGUGUAGCGGUGAAAUGCGUAGAGAUUAGGAAGAACACCAGUGGCGAAGGCGGCUUUCUGGACUGUAACUGACGCUGAGGCACGAAAGCGUGGGUAGCAAACAGG